AUGUUGACGUUAUCUCCUUCCGAUUUCUUUCCUCUCUGUCUAAUCCACCUUUUUUCUUUUGAUUUGCAGGUACGGCGAUGCGACGGUGCAAGACUCAACAGAUUUAGGGUUUCAGAUUUGAAACCCAAAUCCCAAACGAAGAGUUUAGAUGAUUGGCGUAAACUUGCGGCCAACGAUUACUCCUUCUCCUUCAAUUUCUUUUCAAAUUCUCGGUCCUUUCAACAUUAG